UAAACAUCGUACGUGACGAAAUGUGCAAAAUAUUCUCAAUUUUUUUCCACAGCCUCCACCUAUGAUAUCAUCACAUCAUGACAAAUCUCAUGAUUUUCAGACUUUGCUUGUUUUUUUAUAAUUUAAAAAUACCACUGCCACACGUUCGUGGUCGUGUUUCCUGAACAAGAUGUUCGAAAUUUCUUGUCAUUUCAUGGGUC
rnacentral:lncRNA from 1 species